CCAAUAGCGUAUAUUAAAGUUGUUGCAGUUAAAAAGCUCGUAGUUGAAUUUCGGGGUCAGCAGGUUGGUCGUGCCAAUGGUAUGCACUGGCCUUGCUGAUUCCUCCCUCUUGAUGAGCCGUAAUGCCAUUAAUUUGGUGUUGCGGGGAAUCAGGACUGUUACUUUGAAAAAAUUAGAGUGUUUAAAGCAGGCAAGCGCUUGAAUACAUUAGCAUGGAAUAAUGAAAUAGGACGUUUAAUCCUAUUUUGUUGGUUUCUAGGAUUGACGUAAUGAUUAAUAGGGAUAGUUGGGGGCAUUAGUACUCAAUUGUCAGAGGUGAAAUUCUUGGAUUUAUUGAAGACUAACUACUGCGAAAGCAUUUGCCAAGGAUGUUUUCAUUAAUCAAGAACGAAAGUUAGGGGAUCGAAGACGAUCAGAUACCGUCGUAGUCUUAACCAUAAACUAUGCCGACUAGGGAUCGGAUGAUGUUAAUUUUUUAAUGACUCAUUCGGCGCCUUACG
rnacentral:rRNA from 1 species